rnacentral:piRNA from 1 species
UGAACACAACCACCUCCGCCAGUGAUGGA